AACGACAUUUGUUAAAUGAAGUCAAAGCGACCAAUAAUCUUGACGAUUAAGCAAACAUUAUCAAAAAAUGGCCAAGAAGAUUUUGUCAGCGUCAUCCAAACUAAACAUCGACCAGAAUUAUCCAUCCGGGUUUAUAAAGCAAAUGGUAAUAAAUCCGGUUAUGAGCGCCAUGACAAUCCAGGAUGAGGAGGCCAAGAUGCAGAAGUUGAAAGAGAUUCUUCAGAUGCUAGAAGCGGUGAAUAAUAAAUUGAUGAGUCAGCUGCCUAUCGACGUUCUUAUAAAGAUGUUGUAAAUUAUUAAAUACAGCGAUGUGAUGGUAUUCACAUACGAUAACUGCUCUUGAAGUUUC
rnacentral:lncRNA from 1 species